rnacentral:rRNA from 1 species
UACGUAGGCAGCAAGCGUUGUUCGGAGUUACUGGGCGUAAAGGGUGUGUAGGCGGUUGCUUAAGUUUGGUGUGAAAUCUCCCGGCUUAACCGGGAGGGUGCGCCGAAUACUGAGUGACUAGAGUGCGGGAGAGGAGAGUGGAAUUCCCGGUGUAGCGGUGAAAUGCGCAGAUAUCGGGAAGAACACCCGUGGCGAAGGCGGGCUCUCUGGGACGGUACUGGACGCUGAGACGGCGAAAAGCGUGGGGAGCGAACGAGGGAUUGAUAA